GAAGAAGCUAUAAUAAAACCGCAAGACGAGAAGACCCUGUCGAGCUUAAGAAAAUUCUUAUUUUUAAAAUAAAACAAAGCUAAUUUCCUAAAAAUACUUAUAAUAUAUAAAUAAUAAGAAUAUCUUUGGUUGGGGCAACCACGAAGAAAAAACAACCUUCGAUUAAACAAAAAAAAUAAACAAAUUUAAAAACUUUAAAAUAAAAAGUAAAUUUAAACGAUCCAGAAAAUACUGAGCAAAGGAAUAAGUUACCGCAGGGAUAACAGCGUUAUUCUCUUUAAGAGCUCUUAUUGACAAGAGAGUUUGCGACCUCGAUGUUGGACCGGGGUACCCAAAAGAUGUAGAAGUCUUUAAUGGUAGGUCUGUUCGACCUUUAAAACCCUACGUGA
rnacentral:rRNA from 1 species